GAUGAACGCUGGCGGCGUGCUUAACACAUGCAAGUCGAGCGAGAAGUGAAGACGGAAACCUUCGGGCGGAAGGCUUUAUUUCGAGUGGCGGACGGGUGAGUAACGCGUGGGUAACCUGCCUCAUACAGGGGGAUAACAGUUGGAAACGACUGUUAAUACCGCAUAAGACCACAGCACCGCAUGGUGCGGGGGUAAAAACUCCGGUGGUAUGAGAUGGACCCGCGUUCGAUUAGCCAGUUGGCGGGGUAACGGCCCACCAAAGCGACGAUCGAUAGCCGAUCUGAGAGGAUGACCGGCCACAUUGGGACUGAGACACGGCCCAAACUCCUACGGGAGGCAGCAGUGGGGAAUAUUGCACAAUGGGGGAAACCCUGAUGCAGCGACGCCGCGUGAGUGAAGAAGUAUUUCGGUAUGUAAAGCUCUAUCAGCAGGGAAGAAAAUGACGGUACCUGAGGAAGAAGCCCCGGCUAACUACGUG
rnacentral:rRNA from 1 species